GUGCUCGCUUUGCAGCACUUCUAUUAAAAUUGGAACUAUGCAGAGAAGAUUACCAUGGCUCUAUGAAAGGAUGACUCAAAAGUUCAGGAAGCAUUUCAUAUUUAA